rnacentral:rRNA from 1 species
AUUGCCUACGGGGGGCAGCAGUGAGGAAUAUUGGUCAAUGGGCGCAAGCCUGAACCAGCCAAGUCGCGUGAGGGAUGACGGUCCUAUGGAUUGUAAACCUCUUUUGUCGGGGAGCAAGGCCCGCCACGUGUGGCGGGAAGGAGAGGACCCGAAGAAAAAGCAUCGGCUAACUCCGUGCCAGCAGCCGCGGUAAUACGGAGGAUGCGAGCGUUAUCCGGGUUUAUUGGGUUUAAAGGGGGCGUAGGCGGAAGGGUUAAUCAG